CUAUCAAACUGCGAAUACCAAUUAAUUGAUGAUCGGGAGUCAGACAGUGAGAGAUAAGUUCCAUUGUCGAAAGGGAAACAGCCCAGAUCCACGACUAAGGUCCCAAAAUACACGUUAAGUGGAAAAGGAUGUGCAGUUGCACAGACAACCAGGAUGUUGGCUUAGAAGCAGCCACUCAUUCAAAGAGUGCGUAAUAGCUCACUGGUCGAGUGAAUGUGCGCCGAAAAUAUACCGGGGCUAAACGUGAUACCGAAGUCUGGGGAUCAAGAAAUUGAUCGGUAGGGGAGCAACGCAUACGGACAGAAGCAGAAGCGGGAGCGACUGUGGACUGUAUGGGAGAGAGAAUGCCGGCAUGAGUAGCGAGAGCAAAGUGAGAAUCUUUGCCGUCGAAAGCCUAAGGUUUCCUGAGGAAGGCUCGUCCUCUCAGGGUAAGUCGGGACCUAAGCCGAGGACAACAGUCGUAGGCGAUGGAUAACAGGUUGAUAUUCCUGUACCGUACUUAAGCGUUUGACUGAAGCAGUGACACAGAAGGAUAGACAGACCGGGGGAAUGGUAGACUCCGGCCAAGCAGUGAGGCUGACAUGUAGUGAAGUACGCAUGUUAAGGCUGGGCUGUGAUGGGGACUGAAGAUUAGUAAGGAAGCUGUUGAAUUCACACUGGCGAGAAAAGCUGCUAAGGAGCGAGAGUAUGCCCGUACCGCAAACCGACACAGGUAGGCGAGGAGAGAAUCCUAAGACGAGCGGGAGAACCCUUGUUAAGGAACUCGGCAAAAUGACUCCGUAACUUAGGGAGAAGGAGUGCCUCGAGAGAGGCCGCAGAGAAUAGGCCCAAGCGACUGUUUACCAAAAACACAGGUCUGUGCGAAGUAGAGAUACGACGUAUACGGGCUGACGCCUGCCCAGUGCCGGAAGGUUAAGGGGAAGUGUUAGGGCAACCGAAGCACGGAACUUAAGCCCCGGUGAACGGCGGCCGUAACUAUAACGGUCCUAAGGUAGCGAAAUUCCUUGUCGGGUAAGUUCCGACCCGCACGAAUGGCGUAACGACUUGGGCACUGUCUCAACAAGGGACCCGGCGAAAUUGUAGUAUGUGUGAAGAUGCACAUUACCCGCGAUAGGACGGAAAGACCCCGUAGAGCUUUACUGUAGUUUAACAUUGGAUUUUGAUAACACAUGUACAGGAUAGGUGGGAGGCUGAGAAACCGGCACGCCAGUGCCGAUGGAGCCGCUGUUGGGAUACCACUCUUGUGUUAUUGGAGUUCUAACGAAGUGCCGUGAA
rnacentral:rRNA from 1 species